rnacentral:siRNA from 1 species
AAUCGGAGCUCAAGUCGCCGG